AAAUCGGUUCUUUUCAGAACCACAAUUUUUCCAAAUAAAUAAGGUU
rfam:Dendroctonus ponderosae Seq01029399, whole genome shotgun sequence.